rnacentral:tRNA from 1 species
GGAUCCGUAGCUCAGUGGUAGAGCAUUCGACUGCAGAUCGAGAGGUCACUGGUUCAAUCCCGGUCGGGUCCU